rnacentral:misc_RNA from 1 species
AACCAUAGAAACCUGCGGAGUACCUGCGGAAGGAUCAUUACACAAUAAACAUAUGAAGGCUGCACCGCCAACAGGCGGCAAGGCUGGAGUAUUUUAUUACCCUUGUCUUUUGCGCACUUGUUGUUUCCUGGGCGGGUUCGCCCGCCUCCAGGACCACAUGAUAAACCUUUUUUAUGCAGUUGCAAUCAGCGUCAGUACAACAAAUGUAAAUCAUUUACAACUUUUAGCAAUGGAUCUCAG